UUUUGGGGUGAACUAACCCUUUAAGUGAGCUUCAGAGGUGAGACUAAAAAAUAUUUAAUGAAUACUAUACUUAUGUAUCUAAAGAAAUUGAUUCAUAAUUAAUUUACAGCUUUCAAUCAUUUUAUCAAAUGCCAUUUUUAUUGUUUCAACCAAGAAUGCAGAGCGUGUCUCUGUGCUGCCUACAAACAGCAUCCAGAUGGAGGCAUCUUAAUAGACAGGAUGUUGUGUGAACAUUACAUUCAGAUGUGCCUUGAUGUCUUCCUUCUCUCAUAUACUUGUUGGGAAGGGAGCAUUUUUCAGUUUUUCUUUCUCAGAAGAGAAAAAAAUUCACCUCUCUAGAUCUGAAGGUGUGUUUUACCUAUAGCAACUGAAGAGGGCACCAUUGCCUUAAGGAAAAUAUACCAACAUGUUCUCCAUAUGUGCAAAGUGUGUGUAUACCAUGGGGAGAGAUUAAGAGAGCAAAAGAACGAGGGACCAAAGCACAGAGAAACAGGAUAUAAAUGAGAAAGGCAACCUCGGGGUGGCCGAACCAUCAGUGCCAGAAAUAUAAUCACAGCUGCCUCUUAAU